UGUGGGCUCUCCUUCUCUGUGGCCGAUGUGAGUAAAACAUUUAAACGUGUUAACCCUCGCAUGGCUGCCGGCCCAGACGGCAUCCCUAGCCGGGUCCUCAGAGCAUGCGCAGACCAGCUGGCUGGUGUGUUUACGGGCAUAUUCAAUCUCUCCCUAUCCCAAUCUGCUGUCCUCACAUGCUUCAAGAUGGCCACCAAUGUUCCUGUACCCAAGAAGGCAAAGAUCCACAGACGAUGCAAUCGACCAUCACUCUGCACACUGCCCUAUCCCAUCUGGACAAGAGGAAUACCUACCUAAGAAUGCUGUUACCUACCUAAGCAUUCAACACCAUAGUACCCUCCAAGCUCAUUAUUAAGCUCAAGGCCUUGGGUCUGGACCCGGCCCUGUGCAACUGGGUCCUGGACUUCCUGACGGGCCGCCCCCAGGUGGUGAUGGUAGGAAACAUCACCUCUACUCCGCUGAUCCUCAACAAUGGGGCCCCACAAGGGUGCGUGCUCAGCCCCCUCCUGUACUCCCUGUUCACCCAUGACUGCAUGGCCAAGCACGCGUCCAACUCAAUCAUCAAGUUUGAGUGUGGUGCCUGGAAAAAAACCUCUCACUCAACGUCAACAAAACAAAGGAGAUGAUCGUGGACUUCAGGAACAGCAGAGGGUGCACCCCCCUAUCUACAUCGAUGGGACCGCAGUGGAGAAGAUGAAAAGCUUCAAGUUCCUUGGUGUACACAUCACUGACAAACUGAAAUGGACCACCCAAACAGACAGUGUGGUGAAGAAGGCGCAACAGAGCAUCUUCAACUUCAGGAGGCUAAUGAAAUUUGGCUUGUCACCUAAAACCCUCACAAACUUUUACAGAUGCACAAUUGAAAGCAUCCUGUUGGGCUGUAUCACCGCCUGGUACGGCAACUGCACCACCCUCAACCACAAGGCUCUCCAGAGGGUGGUGCGGUCUGCCCAACGCAUUACCUGGGGCAAACUACCUGCCCUCCAGGACACCUACAGCACCCAAUGUCACAGGAAGGCCAAAGAUAUCAUCAAGGACAUCCCCCCGUUAUCAUCCAGAAGGCGAGUUUCCAGCGAGACUAUUCAAGCCAUCGACUCACGGAUGAACGAAG
rnacentral:lncRNA from 1 species